rnacentral:rRNA from 1 species
UACAGAGGGUGCGAGCGUUGUCCGGAAUCACUGGGCGUAAAGGGCGCGUAGGCGGCCAUUCAAGUCAGGGGUGAAAGCCUGUGGCUCAACCACAGAAUUGCCUUUGAUACUGUUUGGCUAGAGACCGGAAGAGGUAAGUGGAACUGCGAGUGUAGAGGUGAAAUUCGUAGAUAUUCGCAAGAACACCAGUGGCGAAGGCGGCUCACUGGUCCGGUACUGACGCUGAGGUGCGAAAGCGUGGGGAGCAAACAGG